rnacentral:rRNA from 1 species
UACGAAGGUCCCAAGCGUUAUCCGGAUUUAUUGGGCUUAAAGGGUGCGUAGGCGGGCUAUUAAGUCAGUGGUGAAAGCCCCAAGCUUAACUUGGGAACUGCCAUUGAUACUGAUGGUCUUGAGUACAUUUGAGGUGGGCGGAAUGUGUCAUGUAGCGGUGAAAUGCUUAGAUAUGACACAGAACACCGAUUGCGAAGGCAGCUCACUAAGCUGUAACUGACGCUGAGGCACGAAAGCGUGGGGAGCAAACAGG